UACGGGGGGGGCAAGCGUUGUUCGGAAUUACUGGGCGUAAAGGGCUCGUAGGCGGCCAACUAAGUCAGACGUGAAAUCCCUCGGCUUAACCGGGGAACUGCAUCUGAUACUGGAUGGCUUGAGUUCGGGAGAGGGAUGCGGAAUUCCAGGUGUAGCGGUGAAAUGCGUAGAUAUUGGGAAGAACACCUGAGGCGAAGGCGGGUUGCUGGGCCGACACUGACGCUGAGGCGCGAAAGCCAGGGGAGCAAACGGG
rnacentral:rRNA from 1 species